CACGCGACGAAGAAGAAGGCGGCACCAAGGACGAAACAGGCCGCACCGAGAUUCUCGAACAAGCCAUUCUCGUUAUUGGCGGCGCGGAUCUGCGUUGGGCUGAGGAAGAGGAAAACGACGUAGGGGGCGACCAUCAUCACAUAGGAGAUGGUCCUCAGUAAUGCUGGUAGAGCUGGCU
rnacentral:misc_RNA from 1 species